rnacentral:rRNA from 1 species
UACGGGGGGGGGCAAGCGUUGUUCGGAAUUACUGGGCGUAAAGGGCUCGUAGGCGGCCAACUAAGUCGGACGUGAAAUCCCUCGGCUCAACCGAGGAACUGCGUCCGAUACUGGCGAGGCUUGAAUUCGGGAGAGGGAUGUGGAAUUCCAGGUGUAGCGGUGAAAUGCGUAGAUAUCUGGAGGAACACCGGUGGCGAAGGCGGCAUCCUGGACCGAGAUUGACGCUGAGGCGCGAAAGCUAGGGUAGCAAACGGGG